ACCUGGAGAAGCUAAAGGAGGUGAACCAGAGGAAGCUGGAAGAUCUGCAGAUCUGGGAGCUACCCCAUGCCAACCACACAGUCAGAGCUCAACACAGAAGACCUUAGGUCCUUUGAUAUGGGAUCAUUGAUAAUACAGUUGAGCACUGUACCUACCUCAACUUUGGAGGGAAAAGGAAUCCACCCAUGCAUUUCCGUUCCCAUGGUGCUUCAUCGCUUCCUCAAGUUUUGCCAGACCUGGAGUGGC